rnacentral:rRNA from 1 species
ACGAACGCUGGCGGCGUGCCUAAUACAUGCAAGUAGAACGCUGAAGGAAGGAGCUUGCUCUUUCUGGAUGAGUUGCGAACGGGUGAGUAACGCGUAGGUAACCUGCCUGGUAGCGGGGGAUAACUAUUGGAAACGAUAGCUAAUACCGCAUAAAAUUGAUUAUUGCAUGAUAGUCAAUUAAAAGGUGCAACUGCACCACUACCAGAUGGACCUGCGUUGUAUUAGCUAGUUGGUGGGGUAACGGCUCACCAAGGCGACGAUACAUAGCCGACCUGAGAGGGUGGUCGGCCACCCUGGGACUGGGACCCGGCCCAGACUCCUACGGGAGGCAGCAGUAGGGAAUCUUCGGCAAUGGACGGAAGUCUGACCGAGCAACGCCGCGUGAGUGAAGAAGGUUUUCGGAUCGUAAAGCUCUGUUGUAAGAGAAGAACGAGUGUGAGAGUGGAAAGUUCACACUGUGACGGUAUCUUACCAGAAAGGGACGGCUAACUACGUG